CCACUAAGCCCCCCAGGUGCCCCUGCAUUUAUUUUUAAAAAGUUCUAAAGAUGAUUCAAGUGUGCCCAGAAGUCUCCUCACUUGGGGUUAUUCAGUAAACUCUGAGGACUUAGAGAUUUCCUGAAUUCUCAAGCACUCCCAAAGGUCAGUUGAGAUGUCACUGAGGUCACUGUGUGAAUGGUCUCAUUCUCUUUGAGCUAAGGAUCUAGUCCCUCUUCUACACCCAGCAGUAUCUCCCAGAGUUUUCUUCUCUAUAUAGUAAAUCUCAUUAAGAGUCAGAAAGGGCAACUUGAAGUAAUCAAUUUUACUUUAUUUUAUGGGGAAAUUCUUAGGAUAGUGCAGCAUUUGUGAAUCAAGGAUUGAAAGUCCUCUAGUAUAUCUUUUUCAAAUGUCAAGGGUAUAUCGAUUCAGGUUUAUGUUAAUAUUGUGAAUAUCCAUUUAUGGGAAAAUGAAAGAUAUUCUAAAAUUUUUGAGGGAAGGAAGUAGGUCAUCCUUUAUGACUUUCUAAUCCUGAAUAGUCAAGGAACUGUUUGAACACAGCUUUCUUCUUACAGACUUUUAAAUACUCAAUUUUACCCGAUGGUGACCUUUCUUGUUUCCAGUUGUGAGACAUUUGCAAUCAUUUUGGUACCUGAAUAUUACAGUUUUUAUUGUGCUUCAAAUAUUGCAUUAAUUUUUGUUUUUUUCCUCCCUUAACAGGUACGAGGCUGUUAAGGGCUGGGAACUUUAGUACCUUCUGCAGUGCUAAAAAUAUUGUCAAUGGAGCACACAGCAAUAUUAGGAUUUAUGGUGAAGAGCUGGGAAAGCAAGCUUAAAAGGGAUCAUAACAUCUUAGAGCAGCUGCCAUGGGAAAUGUGUAGGAGGAUGACGAGGACAAGUGUGAAAGUAAAGACAUAUUUGCAAAGCUUGGCUGAAUUUGGCAGGAAAAGGAGGAAGAAUUAGGAUAAAAUGAAGUAAGUGGUUGCUUUUUUCUGCCUUCCAACACCCCCUCCCCCCCACCCCCACGAUAUACACAAUGGAAGGAAAGAAAGAAAAUCAGGUUUUCCCUUGUUGCUUGAGAAGACUUAAAGAUCUAAGAUUAAUAAAAUCUGUCUAAUUCUUUGGCUGGUAAGUUAG
rnacentral:lncRNA from 1 species